CCAAUAGCGUAUAUUAAAGUUGCUGCAGUUAAAAAGCUCGUAGUUGAAUUUCGGGACUAAUAUGUCGGUCGUGCCUCGGUACGUACUGGUAUUUUUGGUUUCUCCCUUCUGACGAACCUUGAUGUCAUUAAUUUGGUGUCUUGGGAAAUCAGGACUGUUACUUUGAAAAAAUUAGAGUGUUUAAAGCAGGCUCACGCUGGAAUACAUUAGCAUGGAAUAAUGAAAUAGGACGUUUGAUUCUAUUUUGUUGGUUUCUAGGAUUGACGUAAUGAUUAAUAGGGAUAGUUGGGGGCAUUAGUAUUCAAUUGUCAGAGGUGAAAUUCUUGGAUUUAUUGAAGACUAACUACUGCGAAAGCAUUUGCCAAGGAUGUUUUCAUUAAUCAAGAACGAAAGUUAGGGGAUCGAAGACGAUCAGAUACCGUCGUAGUCUUAACCAUAAACUAUGCCGACUAGGGAUCGGAUGAUGUUAAUUUUUUAAUGACUCAUUCGGCGCCUUACG
rnacentral:misc_RNA from 1 species